rnacentral:rRNA from 1 species
AGCAGCCGCGGUAAUUCCAGCUCCAAUAGCGUAUAUUAAAGUUGUUGCAGUUAAAAAGCUCGUAGUUGAAUUUCGAGAUCAAAUUGUUGGUCGUGCCUCGGUACGUACUGGCAUUAUUGAUUUCUCCUUUCUGAAGAACCUUGAUGUCAUUAAUUUGGUGUCUUGGGGAAUCAGGACCGUUACUUUGAAAAAUUAGAGUGUUUAAAGCAGGCUCACGCUUGAAUACAUUAGCAUGGAAUAAUAAAAUAGGACGUUUGAUUCUAUUUUGUUGGUUUCUAGGAUCGACGUAAUGAUUAAUAGGGAUAGUUGGGGGCAUUAGUAUUCAAUUGUCAGAGGUGAAAUUCUUGGAUUUAUUGAAGACUAACUACUGCGAAAGCAUUUGCCAAGGAUGUUUUCAUUAAUCAAGAACGAAAGUUAGGGGAUCGAAGACGAUCAGAUACCGUCGUAGUC